UGCGCAGGCGGUUAUGUAAGUCAGAUGUGAAAUCCCCGGGCUUAACCUGGGAAUGGCAUUUGAGACUGCAUGGCUAGAGUGUGUCAGAGGGGGUAGAAUUCCACGUGUAGCAGUGAAAUGCGUAGAGAUGUGGAGGAAUACCGAUGGCGAAGGCAGCCCCCUGGGAUAACACUGACGCUCAUGCACGAAAGCGUGGGGAGCAAACAGGAUUAGAUACCCUGGUAGUCCACGCCCUAAACGAUGUCUACUAGUUGUCGGGACUUAAUUGUCUUGGUAACGCAGCUAACGCGUGGAGUAGACCGCCUGGGGAGUACGGUCGCAAGAUUAAA
rnacentral:rRNA from 1 species